CACGAUAUGUCUAGAUACAACAUGGCAUCACAACAUAAAUCUAUGACUCAAGUAUUUAUUAGAGACUCAUAAAAGUCAACAUAGUGUGAUAUUACAAAUAGGGGUCACAAGACCCAACACUCAAGUCAUGCAAGGAACAAGUGGAAUGAUAACAUGUCUAGGUACAGACAUCUAAGAAGUAACAAAAGGCUGAGAAAGCCUGUCUAUAUACAAGACCCUCCAUAGGAACCAGACCUUUGUCUGCGAUUCCCUAGCUACUCGAUCAACAUAAAUCUUAUCGUCGAAUCCACUAGCACGACAGGAGUCUGCGCUACAAAAACAUAAAUUAAGCAACAGUGAGUACAUACGCACUCAGCAAGACUUACAUCAGAAC
rnacentral:lncRNA from 1 species